rnacentral:rRNA from 1 species
GACGAACGCUGGCGGCGUGCUUAACACAUGCAAGUCGAACGGUAAGGCCUUUCGGGGUACACGAGUGGCGAACGGGUGAGUAACACGUGGGUGAUCUGCCCUGCACUUCGGGAUAAGCCCGGGAAACUGGGUCUAAUACCGGAUAGGACUGCGCGGUGCAUGCCGUGUGGUGGAAAGAUUUAUCGGUGCAGGAUGGGCCCGCGGCCUAUCAGCUUGUUGGUGGGGUAAUGGCCUACCAAGGCGACGACGGGUAGCCGGCCUGAGAGGGCGACCGGCCACACUGGGACUGAGACACGGCCCAGACUCCUACGGGAGGCAGCAGUGGGGAAUACUGCACAAUGGGCGCAAGCCUGAUGCAGCGACGCCGCGUGGGGGAUGACGGCCUUCGGGUUGUAAACCUCUUUCAGCAGGGACGAAGCGUGAGUGACGGUACCUGCAGAAGAAGCACCGGCCAACUACGUG